AUUCAAAUAGUUUAAUGAAAAUGCUGGCUUGUGGGGCUAGAGAUGUAAAUUUAUUUAUUUUGGAUA
rnacentral:tRNA from 1 species